UUUCCCUUUAAAUCUGUUCGGUACAUUCCCAUCUGUACGUCUCUGUUAUAAUGAAGUUGUUUUAUCUUAAGUGGGAAAGAAACAAUUCCUGUCGCAUGUUGUUAAUGAUCGCUGCGAACAAGAUAUGAGCGAAGCAGCAAAAGGCUGGAAGUCAUGUUAACCCAUAGGUUUACCUUUUCUAUUAACCCUACUGUUGCAGCCUCAGGAAGAUUCCUAUGACUCCUCCUGACAGGAGUGGACCAAUACAGUUCCUCGUGUGAAAGUCCGAAAAAGCGAAAUAUAUUAUUGAGUUAUUCACAUUUUAUAUCUGUGUACAUUAAAAUGUAAACACACAAAGAGCCAAACAUAAUUGGAAAAGAUAUAAACCCUAAUAAAUUAGAAAGGGAUUCCAACGAUGUUGUCAUUUUAAAUACAAGUUGUUAUAUUGAUAAUAGGAAAACAAAGGGCUGUAUAUUUUAAAGACCAUGAAGACCACUUUCUGCUUAAUCUGUGAAAGCGUUUGCCUCAGAACUUCCGCCAAAUAGUCGUAAAGACAUGAGCAUUUUGCAUUUGGUACAAAAAUCGGUUACCGUCGCAAUAUACACAAAAGGUACUUGAAAAAAUGAGUUACUGAACUGGAACGGAUAAGUCGCCUGCUGAAUUUGACGAUUAGCUGAUUAUUUAUCACUCCAUUCAGGCAAUACCAGAAAUCUCCAAAGUUGCAUCUUUCAGGACGCCUGAUGUUUGAUUCACACUGGAUUUCGUUCUCCAGAGAUGCACAACGCGAUAAAUGCAGCAAUUUUCUCCAAUGGGCAGCUUUGAAGAACAUGGCAAUUUCAAGCUGCUGGAUGUUAUUUAGUGUAAUAAGAAAUAAAACGAUCCUAUUUCUGAAAUAACAGUGUCUAUCAUCAGUUGAACUACACUGAAAAGGUAAUUGUUUCCUGAUGAUAGAUCCAUUACAGCCGAUCGUGGCCUAAAAUCAUCCAAUGCACCGUGAAAAUGAAGGGCAAAAUCGGUCUUUGCACCUUAAUCAUCAGAGUAAGUUUGUGCCUAGGCCAACAGUUGUAUGCUGCACUCAGUCGAGCCAGCCCCUGGUCCUAGUCAUUGAAUUCUCGGUUGCAAAGGUUAGAAGACCUCAUAUUAGAUAGUUUUAGUUUCUCCCUACCAACAAUUACAAUCAGAGGGAAAUAGUUGAAUCUAGCACACGGGGGCAUUGAAAUUACUGUUUCAAGAGGGUUUAAAUUGUAGCUAAAUUGUGUGUGUGAUUUUUAAAAAUCAUUUUCGAUGUCGUUUCUGUUUCUAAGAAAUAUUUCUAUGAGGGUUAAUAUUAGCGCUCGAUGAUGAAAAAUGCCACAAUGUGCUCCGUAGUUUUAAAACAUCGCAUUUACACAAGGCAGAAUAUCACAGGUUCAAAGCAUAUUAGUCUCGUAAUUAUUUUGACUUGCUGCUGAAGAUCGAUUAUCCGUAACAGUCUUGGUCCCGCGUCCGUGGGAAAUAUCAUCAACAGCCCCACAUGGGGAAACACAACUUGUUUUGAGUAUUGUUCGUCACUGGUUUGUCAUGUCUAUCGAUCGGAACAAUCCAUCAUCACUAGACGAUGUAGAUUAUAAUAUGUUGUGUUAAUUAUUAACGCCGUUCCAAUGUAAGCAUCACUGUAUGUGUGAAAAGAAAUGCAAAGCUUUCUGAAAUAACCAAUUAUUUUGUUUAGUUUUUGUUUAGUUGUUAUCGCUUAUGCUCACGAUCCAGUUGUACAAUGACGCGACGAAGCAAUAUUCCACCACUGGCAUUUCUAUUCUGAUGAGAAAUAAAAUUUUUAUCCUGGAAAAAAUAACAUCCAGCCAAAAAAUAAUGCAAUAGACGAGGGAUGUAGUAGAAAGCGAAGCAGCAUCGUGGUUUCAUUUUCAAAAGUGCUCAAUUAUUAGGACUUUACAAAAGGGAAUCUAAUGGAGGAAAGGCCAAAGGCACUCAGACAGUGGCUGUUCCAUACAUUGCAUCCUAUUAACUCAGGUUGUAACUCUUAAAAGAUGAUAGCAGCAGAUGAUUCCGUGUAAGCGCUGUUUUAGCUCUGACAUUAUUUAUAGAGCCUACUAAUAGCGCUAACAGUGGAAACCAGGGCUAAUUAAGCGUCCUCUCGGAUGCUCGCACCAUUUGACCCGUGUUACUAUCGCUGUCCUGGAGUGCAAAUGGGAAAAGAGAGGACGAGGGUUAACUAACUGAAUCGAUCUACAUAAGAAGCUUUGUUUAUAGUUUAUUAAACAUACAACUUGAAUAGACUAAUUAUCUGCAUGUUACAUAUGUUUGACGACCAAUCUGUCAUCAUGAACAAUGCUUUCACUUUUAUGUGUUGGGAGAUUCGGAACGCUUACAAGAGUUCUAACGCGAAAAGCCUAUCCCUCAGUUUGGCAGCUCUUCUAGCGGAAACAGUGAGAAAGUAACAAAUAUUAUGAAGCAAAAUAUUGGAAAAUGUUACUAUGUGUUUAAGAUGCGAUACAUUAACAAUUAGGAAUGGUAAGAGUAUAGCGCAAUAUUGAACUUUAGUUGCAAUAUUAUUUUAAAAGAUGGAUUUUUAAUAUUAUUUAGAAAUACUUUGGAGGAAAUACAGCCUCGCGUCUACAUGAGCGAAAGUUAUUUUAAUGAGUUUCAACGAGUUUAUACAAAUUAUAGUGAUUAACGAGAUUAUUUGGCAGAUCUCAACAUCACACUCAACUUUUUAUUAUGUUGUCGACGUGUGACACAAUAUGAACAAAGUAAAUUUGAAAUUCACAACGCGGAUAUUAUUUAUUUAAUGUGUUAUGAACAACUGUUGAUAUGCAUCAUGAUUAUACUUGUAUAUCACGUCUCUGCAAUUUUAAGGACCUAUAUUAAAUGUUCCACAUCAACGUUUUGUCUAACUAAUUAUAGUUACAUUUAUUGUCGAUAGGUCUUUGUGAGGUUGUUGAUCACGAUCUUUUAUUUUGUUGCGAAGAUCUGCCUGGAAUAAAGUGAAACAGAUGCUCCUGUGUUUGUCAGCUGUUACUGUUUGUAAAAGGUCAAAGUAGGAGGCAGAGAAGGACCAGGCAACGAAGCAAUUAAGUAGAGAAGGCAGAAUGCUGCAGACUGGCUCCAAAUUUAUACAAGAGAGA